rnacentral:rRNA from 1 species
AGUGAACGCUGGCGGUAGGCCUAACACAUGCAAGUCGAACGGCAGCACAGUAAGAGCUUGCUCUUACGGGUGGCGAGUGGCGGACGGGUGAGGAAUACAUCGGAAUCUACUUUUUCGUGGGGGAUAACGUAGGGAAACUUACGCUAAUACCGCAUACGACCUACGGGUGAAAGCAGGGGAUCUUCGGACCUUGCGCGAUUGAAUGAGCCGAUGUCGGAUUAGCUAGUUGGCGGGGUAAAGGCCCACCAAGGCGACGAUCCGUAGCUGGUCUGAGAGGAUGAUCAGCCACAAUGGAACUGAGACACGGUCCAGACUCCUACGGGAGGCAGCAGUGGGGAAUAUUGGACAAAGGGCGCAAGCCUGAUCCAGCCAUACCGCGUGGGUGAAGAAGGCCUUCGGGUUGUAAAGCCCUUUUGUUGGGAAAGAAAAGCAGCAGGUUAAUACCCCGCUGUUCCGACGGUACCCAAAGAAUAAGCACCGGCUAACUUCGUG